AUUGAACGCUGGCGGCAGGCCUAACACAUGCAAGUCGAACGGUAACAGGAAGCAGCUUGCUGCUUCGCUGACGAGUGGCGGACGGGUGAGUAAUGUCUGGGAAGCUGCCUGAUGGAGGGGGAUAACUACUGGAAACGGUAGCUAAUACCGCAUAAUGUCGCAAGACCAAAGAGGGGGAACUUCGGGCCUCUUGCCAUCGGAUGUGCCCAGAUGGGAUUAGCUUGUUGGUGGGGUAACGGCUCACCAAGGCGACGAUCCCUAGCUGGUCUGAGAGGAUGACCAGCCACACUGGGACUGAGACACGGUCCAGACUCCUACGGGAGGCAGCAGUGGGGAAUAUUGCACAAUGGGCGCAAGCCUGAUGCAGCCAUGCCGCGUGUAUGAAGAAGGCCUUCGGGUUGUAAAAUACUUUCAGCGGGGAGGAAGGGAGUAAAGUUAAUACCUUUGCUCAUUGACGUUACCCGCAGAAGAAGCACCGGCUAACUCCGUG
rnacentral:rRNA from 1 species